GCAGAGGAAAAGCAGCUGAUGUCUUCAUCAAAUGGCCCAGUAAUCUGAGCAACGAAAUUGUGUGGGGAAAGAUUUCUGACACCACACAGAAGUGUCUUGCGGAUGAAGAGGUAGGCAGUGGUUCAGGAAUAAUUUCUUUGAUGUCAUCCAAAUAAUACCAUACCUUCUCACCAGCAAACCUUAUUGAUGGUAUGUAGAAGCGAUUGUCUCCCGCACAGCUCAUUGUAUCAACCUCAUACUGACCACUGGCAAUCUGGAUUAAUGAAGCAAAAAAAUGUUAUCAACUGUGUUUUUCAAAGACAAUUUGAUUAUUACAUAAUCAUUACCCUGAUAUUACAUGUUGACAAUCUGAAUCCAAUACUUGCACACCUGACUUCCCAUUCUCCACUCAGUCUUAAACCUACCUGUGUUACUGUGCCAGGAUAGAGGUCUCCGUCAUAGUCCACAAGGACCCAUGUUCCUACUUUGAUGGUCUCUUCAGAUUCCCUUUGCGUGAAAACAAACUCCUUUGGAGAGAAGCA